CACAGGAAAACUUGUUUUUUCCCUUUUUAACUUCUGCUUCACUUCCUUGAGUAAAAUUUAUGGUGAGAGCUGCACAUUGUAGUUUCCUCAAGGCCUUGCAAUCAGUGAGUAUGGCACUUUAAGCAAUAUUGAUGACGCAAAUGUUCCUGGAUCCAUGAGGUCUGGCUGCUUGUUCUCAUAGUCCAAUAACGGGAUGCAGACAGAUUGGGAAAGAAGAUUUAUUUCUGCAACUGGUUACAGGGAGAAGGUCGGAGUAACUAACCAGACCAACUCACAGUUGCAAUUUAUUUUAGCUUAUAUAUAUAAUUGAAGCUUUUUGCUUGCCUGCAGGAGUGUUUCUUAAUCAAUCUAAUCUUAACUAGGGGUCUGCAAGUAGGAAAGUUUAUUAGAUUUCUUCCUGAAUGGACGAGUUUAAGAAAAUCCAGGAGCUGUAACACUCACCGCGAAAAUCUACAGCUUCACUCCUGAGCCCAGCGAGACCACGAGCCCACCGUCAGGAAUGAACAACUCCAGACGCGCUGCCUUAAGAGCUGUAACGCUCACCGCAAAGGUCUCCAGCUUCACUGCUGAGCCAGCGAGACUAUGAACCCACCAGAAGGAAAAAACUCCGAACACAUCUGAACAUCAGAAGGGACAGACUCCAGACGCGCCACCUUAAGAGCUGUAACUCUCACCGCGAGGGUCCGCGGCUUCAUUCUUGAAGUCAGUGAGACCAAGAGCCCACCAAUUCUGGACACAAUAUAUUUUGGUAUUCCUCAUAUUUGGUGGAUUAGAAAAUAAGACUAGCCUUUUAUAAAUGAUAUGCCUGAAGAUUUGUUUUAGGAUUUAAAUGGUUUCUGGGCACUUUGAGGAAGGUUGGAAACUGUAGAAAAAUUUGUCUUUCUUCUAGUUCUUGGCAAUAAGUCUCUUUCUCUAAGGAGAAGUUACUUAAAAUAUUUUGUGCUGUACACCUCUUUGGAAUUUGGCUAAAUCUCAUGGAACUCUUAUGAGAAUAAUGUUUUUGUGAAAGAAAAAUAAAUUUGGGGAUCUAAAAAUCACUAAGCUAAAAAAAAAAAAAGCCAAGCUUGGAACUGCUUAGGGCAAACCUGCUUCACGUUUUGUUCAAAGUUACCCCUCUGCUCACUGAGGUAAAUGUGUAUUUGAUUACCUCCUUUGGAGAGGCUGAUCAGAAACCGUCCCAAAGUGCAAUCAUUUGUCUCUUGUCUACCUAUGACCUAGAAGCCCCGUCCCCAUUUCAAGUUUCCUGACUUUACUUCAAGUUGUCCUGCCUUUCCAGACCAAACUAAAAAGUUUGUCUAAAAAUGUUCAUCUUACAUAUGUUGAUUGAUGUCUCAUUUCUCCCUAAAGUAUAUAAAACGAAACUGCUCUGAUCACCUUGGGAAUAUGUUGUCAGGACAUCCUGAGGCUGUGUCAUGGGCAAACAUCCUCAACCUUGGGAAAAUAAACUUUCUAAAUUAACUGAGACCUGCCUCAGAUAUUCAGAGUUCACAUUUUGGUAACCAUAAGGGAUUCUCAGUGGAGUUGCCUCUGACCUUUGUCAUAUCUCCUGUUGGUGCUUGGUACCAGCAUGAGUUAAAUUUAUGGCUCAAACCAAUAGGACAAUUUGCUGAGGUCUGUGAGCACCCCCUCCAGAGAAUCCCUUAUCUCCCCAAAUUUGGUCAACAUCUAACAUUUAUUUUGCUCUACAACUCCUGUUUUUUUUUGAGCUUUACUUGCAUGCAACAAGGAAGACAAGAUUUCCUGCUUCCGUGAUAAUCAAAAGCAGGUAAAUCCUUUAUAUAGUUUGAGCUCACUCCCAGCAGGGAAGAUGAGUUUGAGUUUUUCCUGCUUCUAGGAUGAGAGAGAGCAGUCUUCAGCCUGAGACCCAUCCUUAGGUAAUUAGCUCAAUUAGGGUUUUGUCUUGGCUAAAGUUUAACAACCAGCCCAGCUUAACUUCUUCCUACCAUUAGAGCACUCAGUGAUUAUACUGUUGGGUUUUUUGUUGUUGUUGUUUGUUCCAGUCUUUCUCCCAUUGGAUUUGACCAACUCUUCCCGACUAGGUCAGAUUCAAGUGAGAAUUCCAAAUUAUGGGUAACAAAGCCUCUCUAAUUUGGCUAAAAUGUCUCACAGCUGCAAAAUAGGGAAAACAACUCCAAAAAAUAAAACAAAACAAAAACCCCAUGGACUUGGUUUCUGUGUUUUCUUCCUGUCUUAAAAAAAAAAGUUAUUUUAUUUACUUUUCUUUCAGCCUAUACCUCUUUUCUCCUUUGCAUCUGCAGUACCAAAAAAUCUAGAGAAAGUUUGUAAUGACUGGAACCCCUUUAAAAAAUUCAGAACAAAGACACCACUCAUUCCUUUUGGGUGUUCUGUUUUCCUUGUGGAGUUUCAAGAGUCAUGGACACAUUCUUCUUAGGGCGAAAGCUGUUUUUCUGUGUUGCAUGACCUUACCUCUUUGGCUUUGGGGGUACCAGAGAUGACUUUGUACUGUGAGAAGAUUUGAUCUUGGCCUGUGUAAUGGCAGAUGAGAGCUACAAAGUUAGGGGUAGCUGAGCAUAGUAUACAGGAAUUGGUCUCGGCUAUUUUUUUAUUUUAAUUUUAGGAAGGUGUAGUUAAAAGAUCCUAAUUCUAGUUCAGAGAUGAAUUCUAUAAGGUCUUCUCUAUUGCUUUUUCUCCCAAAAUUCAUCUUGAUUUGACUUGUCUGCUCAUUUGCAUGAUAAAGUGAACUGCUCUUUUUAUAGGCAAAUGACAGACUGAGUUUUCUCAGCUCCAGAAAGAAAGAGCAGUUUGCUCUUUCUAGCUUAAAGGUAUCCCUGGGUGACGAGGGCCUUGUGAGAGUGUCUGGAAGUUGACCUGCUGUGACAUGCAGCAGCCCUACAGAAAAAUCCCCAACAAAAAUUAAUUGAAAAAAAAAAAAGGCUUAUCCAGGGAAUGCAUGUAAGUGCUGGUCACCUGUUGUUUUGAGCCCUCUCAGAGGUCAUAUAUCUCUGGAGAGAGACACUGAGACAUAUUUUAAGAGGGUAAAAAUGACUCAGUGGUGACAUAAUGUGGAGUCCUGCACACAAGCAGCACACAUCUACCCACCAGAAAAAAACCCUAGGCCACAGCUCAGUUCCUUCUUUUAAGAAAAAGAAGUGGGAAACUAUCUAAGAAUGAGGAGAAAGCAAAGUGAAUGACCCCCUUGUGAGCACUCUAGGUUUUAUGGCACCUCUACUUGCCAGAGCUUAUGUGAAAUGGAAGUAAUAUGUUCUUUAUGCACAUUUACAUUAAGGAAAACGAGCCCUAAGGAUGACCUGCAAACUACAGAGUUCCCAAGUCCUCUUUUUCUCUUUUUUUUUUUCCUUCUUGCUUUAAAACUGCUAUUUUUCUAUUAAGAUAAAAACUGCUGUUUGGAUUUAACAGGUUUUCUUUUUUUUUUUUUUUUUCAUGCUGAUGAAUUUGUAUUUACCUCAUGGCUACAGUUCUGAAGUAAAAGUUAUAGGAUCUUUGUAUGUGUGUGUAUAUGAUGUGUGUAUAUAUUUAAGAGGCAUUUAUAAUUUCUAUAAUUUUAUGUUCAAUUGUCAAUUAAGUCCAUUUUAAUUUCCCUCGAGCACACCAAACUUUUUCACUCUGUACCUUAGGAUGUAAAUUUUGCUAUUUGAUUCUCACCUUAGUUAUUUCCUUUAAUAUGCGAAUUUAAGGCUAUUCAGCUGAAAAUUGUCUAAGAUUUUGAAACUGUUUAUCAAAAAUUUAAAAGUCUAAGAUAGGGAAAAAAAUUUUAUGAAUCUAUAAGAUGUACUUCUAUUGGUAUGCCUAAUAUGUCUAUGUAUAUAUGUGUUUUGUACCCAAUGUUUUAUUACUGAAAAUAUAUAAAGAGCUCUAAUUAAUUAAUUGGCUUAAAAUAAAAGUGGUUGAAUCAAAUACUUUGUCAGGAAAAAAGAAAAUACUAGUCGGAUGCUUUUUCGAGUUUAUGUAACAAGUAAAAUCUUUAAGAAAUAAGCUAGGUUUAAAAUUAUUGUUAAAGUAAUAUUAGAAAUGUCUUAAUGGCUAGCAUACAAUUUUGUUUGCAUUUUUUAAUCAAGCAUUUUUAUACUUAUCUCUGCCAAAUACUAUAAGGUGUUAAAAUUUGAAAUACGGGUUAAAAAGAAUGAUUUUUGCUUGUGCAAUCUUUAAUAAAUAAUACAUUGAUAUUGGUUUAAUGAAAACAGCUGCAUCUUGAAUUUAAUAAGAUUACUAUAACUUCUAAUUCUGUGGCUUUAGGCGGUCUAGUCCACAGGCAGUAAGGUUUGUUUUUGGAAUGGACUGUUAUCAUCUUUGUUUCAAAGCUAAAAUAUAUAAUAAGUUUCUUCCAAAGUUAGUUUGGCCUAUGAUCAUGAAUGAACAAGGACAGCUUGAAGGUUGGAAGCCAGAUGUCUCAGUUAUAAUUUUGCAAUGGCAGUUUCAUAAGUUCAGCUUUCAUUAAUAAUUUAGAUAAACAAUUAAAAUAAAAUAAUUAGAUAAAUGUAAUAAGAUAAAUACUUGUAGACAAACUGAUCAUAAUUUAGAAUCAAAAGCUACAUUAAAUUAAAUGAGAGAUAUUUCAUUGUGUAUUUUCCAAUAACAUUUGUAGAAAAAUAUUUUUUUCUAAAAAAACUGUGUCUCUUUAGAAAAGUGAGCAAUUUUUUUUCGAAUUUAAAGCUUAUUUUAAGAUUAUGAAGUAAGGUAAAAGGAACCAGGAGACAGCAGAGAUAUAAGAAAGUUAUAAAAAUAGAGAGAUAGGGUUUUUUUUCUUUUGAUAAGAAAGCUUAAAGAGAAAUAAUUUUAUAUGAGAAAGAAAUCUUGUAUGGUAAAUUUAGUAUUAGAAUAAUAUGACUGGAUGUUUAAGAAAGAGAGAUGUUCAGGACAAACCAGAAAUUCCAAGCAUGCAUGAACAGUCUCUGUAACUCAAAAUAGGAGGAUUUAUAUAAAAAAUUUAAAAUCUUUCAUAUAGUCAGGUUGUCUAUGAUUAAAGAGUAAUUAUAAUAGUCUUUCUAGUGAUUGGGCUUGAUGUAAAAAAAACACUUAUACACAAAAUAAUUGGUUAGAACAAUAAAAUUUUCUUAAGGGAUUGAUUUAUUUGUAAUAAAUUAUGAGAAAUUUAAUUGUUUGAACUCAAAGUUCAACUUUUAUUGUAUCUCACCAUUUUCAGUUUUCUCUCCCCUUUUAAAGGGUGAGAAAUCGUAACACUCUCCAACUAAUUUUUCAGCUCAUAUAAGUUUUUUCCUCAAGUUCCUUUUCUUGUGGCCUGAUGCUAACAAUAUUUUCUUAAAGGUAUGAAGAAAAUAUUUUUUUCCAGCAUAAUAUUAUGUGCAGUGCAGAAGGUCUUUUCUUUUGCCUUUUGGUAACUGGCCUAAUAGAUUUUACAAUUUAUUGAAAAAAGUCCUAUGUCAUUAUUAUUAAGUUUUGCUUUGCUUAGGAAAAACAACUGAGAUUAAAAUUUUUUUAAAUAAAAUUACAGUUAUUACAUCCAUUUAUUUUUCUUUGUGGGCUUUUAAAGUCCUUGUGACACUGAGUUACAAUGCUUUGACUCCUGGGUCUAAAAAAGAUAUCAAGUCCUGCGGAAUCCUAAACACUGACAGCAAUUGAAGCCUUGUCAUCAGGGCUGGUAGAAGAUGUUGAUCAAAAUAAACUGCAUUUCUGAGACACAAGGCCAGAAAUUAAAGCUAUUCAACUCCUCAAGUUCCAAGGAGUAUCAUGGAAGGGGUGGGCAUGUGAGAUUGUAAGGGCUUGUUUUGAGGGAUAAAAUAAGUUCAGUUUCUCUAUAAAUCAAUCAUGAAUGUCAAAGGCACACUAAUGCAAGACCAGCAUAUGGCCCCUGUGUCAGAUUAACAAGGUUUUCUAAAAACAUUAACCAAUUCUUUAAUAAAGGUUAUAAAAGGCUUAUGGAAGUUAUAUCUUAAGGUUAAGAUUAAAAUUUUAUAGAUUGUAAAUUUUCAAAAACAAAUUUAAUUGGCUUUAUGCUUUUUUUCAUUAGGGCUUACUGUUUGGAAAAUUAAGUCUCAUUUCUCAAAGAAUGAAAGUUUUGCCUUUUUUAAAAAACUCAAGUUAUCACUUGUGAAAUGAUUAUCUUAUUUUAAAAUAACCUAUGAUAUCAAGUGUUUUAAACCUUUGAUAUUUGACAAACAUUCCAAAACAAAAUUAUAAACUAUGCCUUUUCUGAUCUAAUUAAUCCUUUAAGAUAUUAGUUUCCCUAAAGUUCAAAAAUGACAUACUUUUGGCUUACUUGGUAUAAAAAUUAUACAGGAAACAUUGCCAAAUACGAAAUGGUGUUUGGUUUCCUUUUGGCUGUAUUUGUAUAAAUAUGUUAUUGGUAUGUGUUCCAAAAUUAUGUGAAACUCCUACAAUUCUCAUAUGACUUAGAAUUAUAACAAAUUUCCUUGUCAAUUGUGUCUUUCUCUAUGGCUGCCCUAAAACUUUUUGUCAUCCAUGGACAAUUGUUGUCUUAUUUUGGUCCUCUUUAAAGGGUGGUUAUAUAAUCAGCUAUAAAACUCUAACAGGUGCUCUCAGAUGCAGGUUUCUGAUAACUUUGGAGAUUGUGACAUCAGAAUAGAAUAAAAACAUUGUCAAAUACGAAAUGGUGUUUGGUUUAUUUUUGGCUGUAUUUAUAUAAAUAUGUUAUUGGUAUGUGUUCCAAAAUUAUGUGAAACUCCUGUAAUUCUCAUAUGACUUAGCAUUAUCAGUAAUAAUUAUAAUUAUUGUGUUAAAUUAUUGUGUGCCUCAGACAUAGUAAAUGUCCUUGUCAAUUGUGUCUUUCACUAUGGCUGCCCUAAAACUGAAGUCUUCAUGAAUAUCAAGCAGAACAGAAAUUAACUACAUGGAUUGAACUAAUAGAAGACUGAAGUAAUGUUUUUGACUUUUUGCUUGAAAUGUUGCUGAUAGUUGGUUUUGUUUUUUCAGAGUCAAAAGUAACUUUUCUUUGGAGCUAUUGACAGAUUUUAAUGAUUUAGUAUACUCUUAUGAACAAAAGUUAGAACAUACUUGUUUCACUCUACCUGACUUCUCCAAAAUUUGGAAACUCUUCAUGAGUAUUCUUAACCUAUGGCAAUACAGUUAUUUGCAUAAGUACAGUAAGAAUCUGCUUUUAUUUAUAACAGGCCACAAUUGGAAAAACUGGUUAUUUUACCAAGGCUUUGACUGAAAUGGUGCAUUCUCCUUUAAGGAAUUGAACUUGAUUUAUGGAGCAAAUAAAACCCCUUGGGAAAACUGGCCUCAUAUCUUUGUUUACACAGUUCCUGUACAGGGUUAAAGACCUGUGGUAAGUAAAGAAUGUCACUUUCUGACAAGCCCAGGAUCCCCCAGUUUAUCUUGGAACCUCGAGAGUAGAGGAAUUCACCCAAGUCAUAGAUAUUUGACUGUACAAAUCCAUGGCUGGGCUUGGAUUUAAAAAAGUCUUAUCUGAGAUUGUUCUAUAGAACAAAGUUCCAUCAAAGCCAAUUUAAAGCCUAUAUAAAAAUAAUUAUUAUUGCUGCACUGUAUGCAAAUAAGCCUAGUAUAAUACAGCAAAUCAGUACUACCAUGAUUUUUCUUUAGUAAACAUGAGAAACUGGAAAGAGAAAAAUUAUGUUUCAAAAGCUAUAGUACACCUGUUUUUAGAUUCAAGUAUUGCCUAAUGUUUUUCAAUUUUUAUUACUUUCUACAGUUUGGACUGAAUUUUAACUAUGCUUGGCUACAAGUCUUCAUAAUAAUGUUUUCAAUUAUUUCCUUCUUCUUACCCCCAUUUUUCCUAUUUUGGAAUCACUGAAAACUAAGCUAUGCUUUCUGAAAGUCCUGAAAACUGAAGCUAGACAGCUUAAACUUCAGAAGAGAAUAACAGAAACCUAUUUACAUGCAUAAACCACUUUCAUGCCUUCCUACUGAUGUAUGGACUUCAGAGUAAUGUGACCUAUAUUGAUUUUCCAGGAUUGUUCUUUUGUUUGUGGUUGUUUUUCUCCCUACCUCUUCUUCUUUUAUCUCCAAAGAACAUGAGACUUCCCAACCUGCUAAAAAUGAGCUUUCCUAAUAACUUGGGAUCUACCUGUCUAGGAAUAAACACACUAACUACGAGAGAUCAGAUAUAAUCUGAGUCCAGAGACUCUUUUCUUCUAAAAUGCUUUCUCCGAAACGUUUUUAAAAAGAAAAGGCGGGGUGGCGGGGAGUCGGGGAGGAAUGUGAAAGGAAAUUAAAUCUUGAGGACCCCAAAUCACUAAGCUGAAGGGAAAAGUCAAAGUGGAAACUGCUUAGGGCAAACUUGCCUCCCAUUCUAUUCAAAGUCACCCCUAUGCUCACUGAGAUAAAUGCAUAUCUGAUUGCCACCUUUUGAACAGGUAAUCAGAGACUCAAAAAAAUGCAACAUUUUUUUUUUCUUAUCUACCUAUGCGCUGGAAGCCCCAUCUCUGAUUUCAGUUUCCCUCCUUUGCUUCGAGUUGUCCUGACUUUCUGGACUGAUCCAAUGUUCAUCUUACAUAUGUUGAUUGAUGUCUCAUGUCCCCCUAUAAUGUAUAGAACCAAACUGUGCUCUGGCUACCUUGGGCAAGUGUUGUCAGGACCUCAUGAGAUUGUGUCAUGGGUACACAUCCUUAACCUUGACGAAAUAAAGUUUCUAAAUUAACCAAGACCUGUCUCAGAUAUUUGGGUUUCACACAUUAAAAUAGAUAAAAUAAAAUACACAGAUUCAUGAAGAAAACAAAUUAUGUGGGAAUAUAGUUACGGAAAUAUUUUUAUGGUAAUAUAGUUAUGGAAAUAAGAAUAUAUAUUAUUUGUGUUAUCCCAUUAAUUAACAAGAUAUACUAGCUGACAUCAAUUUGGAGUUGUGAUAAGUGUAAAUGAUAUUUCAUGAUCUUUCAUGCAGCAAGAGUAAUAUGAUGUAAAAAUACUCAUGGUUUCUAUGAGUAACAAAGUCAUAGGACAACUAAUUUUGCUGUGAUUUGUUGUUUACAUCCAUAAUAGAGGAGAAUACUAAUGUUCAGGUUAGUGAAGAAAUACAGUUUUUUCUACAAUCACAUUUGCAUAUUCCUGAAUUUCCCCAGAUUAAGAGCUCCUCUUAAAAAGUUUACAGUUUGCUCCCAGAAGAACGAUUCAAUGUAUUGCUUUUAAUGGCUUUUAUAGAAGAUAAUCUGUAGAAAAAUGAAAAAGGCCACUGUGACAUAACUAUUGUGAUAUAAUGUCUCUGAUUUUCUAUAUAGUAUCAGUUUGAUUUCCUUGAGGAUAUGAAGGAUCUACUAAGCAGGAAACUUGGCAUUAUUAAUGUGAGGUAAUUAAAUUCUUAAUCAACCUAACUUCCUUAUUUCCUAGAAACACAAAUUAUGCCCAAGGAUGCAAACACCAGGAAGCUGUCAUAAAAUUCUGUAUUGAAUUUACAGAAUAAAUAUUCUAAUUUCUGGCAAAUCAUA
rnacentral:lncRNA from 10 species